rnacentral:rRNA from 1 species
AUACGAAGGGGGCUAGCGUUGUUCGGAAUUACUGGGCGUAAAGCGCAUGUAGGCGGACAUUUAAGUCAGGGGUGAAAUCCCGGGGCUCAACCUCGGAACUGCCUUUGAUACUGGGUGUCUAGAGUGUGGAAGAGGUAAGUGGAAUUCCGAGUGUAGAGGUGAAAUUCGUAGAUAUUCGGAGGAACACCAGUGGCGAAGGCGACUACCUGGACCGAUACUGACACUGAGGAGCGAAAGCGU